rnacentral:misc_RNA from 1 species
UAUAAGAACGCAGCGAAAUGCGAUACGUAAUGUGAAUUGCAGAAUUCAGUGAAUCAUCGAGUCUUUGAACGCACAUUGCGCCCCCUGGUAUUCCGGGGGGCAUGCCUGUCCGAGCGUCAUUGCUGCCCUCAAGCACGGCUUGUGUGUUGGGCCUCCGUCCUCCUCCCGGGGGACGGGCCCGAAAGGCAGCGGCGGCACCGCGUCCGGUCCUCGAGCGUAUGGGGCUUCGUCACCCGCUCUUGUAGGCCCGGCCGGCGCUUGCCGACACAUCAAUCUUUUUUCCAGGUUGACCUCGGAUCAGGUAGGGAUACCCGCUGAACUUAAGCAUAUCAAUAAGCGGAGGA